rnacentral:tRNA from 1 species
GGAGGAGUCGCAUAGUGGUCUAGUGCACCGUCUUGGAAAGGCGGCGUGCCGCAAGGCACCGAGGGUUCGAAUCCCUCCUCCUCCG